rnacentral:piRNA from 1 species
ACCGACUGUUCUUCCAGAAGACCUGC